UACGUAGGGGGCAAGCGUUGUCCGGAUUUAUUGGGCGUAAAGAGCGUGUAGGCGGCUAGAUAGGUCCGUUGUGAAAACUCGAGGCUCAACCUCGAGACGCCGGUGGAAACCAUCUAGCUAGAGUCCGGAAGAGGAGAGUGGAAUUCCUGGUGUAGCGGUGAAAUGCGCAGAUAUCAGGAAGAACACCCGUGGCGAAGGCGGCUCUCUGGGCCGAUACUGACGCUGAGGAGCGAAAGCGUGGGGAGCAAACAGG
rnacentral:rRNA from 1 species